rnacentral:tRNA from 3 species
GGCGGGGUAGUUCAGUUGGUUAGAACAUUGGAAUCAUAAUCCAAUUGUCGGGGGUUCAAGUCCCUCCUUCGUCA